GAUGAAGAACGUAGCGAAAUGCGAUAAGUAAUGUGAAUUGCAGAAUUCCGUGAAUCAUCGAAUCUUUGAACGCACAUUGCGCCCCCUGGUAUUCCGGGGGGCAUGCCUGUCCGAGCGUCAUUGCAACCUUCAAGCGCGGCUUGUGUGUUGGGUCUCGUCCCCCGUGGACGGGCCCGAAAGGCAGUGGCGGCGUCCCGACAUGGUGCCCGAGCGUAUGGGAAUCCUCUUCCGCUCGAAUCGGCCCAUGCGGCGUUGGUCGUAACCAAAUUUUUUACCGGUUGACCUCGGAUCAGGUAGGGAUACCCGCUGAACUUAAGCAUAUCAAUAAGCGGAGGA
rnacentral:misc_RNA from 1 species